rnacentral:rRNA from 1 species
CGUACGCUGGCGGCACGCCUAACACAUGCAAGUCGAACGCAGUAGCAAUACUGAGUGGCGGACGGGUGAGUAACACGUGGGUAACCUGCCCAUAAGAGGGGGAUAACAUCCGGAAACGGAUGCUAAUACCGCAUAUUUCCAAUUGUCUCCUGACAGAUGGAAAAAAAGGUGGCUUCGGCUACCGCUUAUGGAUGGACCCGCGGCGUAUUAGCUAGUUGGUGAGGUAAUGGCUCACCAAGGCGAUGAUACGUAGCCGACCUGAGAGGGUGAUCGGCCACACUGGGACUGAGACACGGCCCAGACUCCUACGGGAGGCAGCAGUAGGGAAUCUUCCGCAAUGGACGAAAGUCUGACGGAGCAAUGCCGCGUGAGUGAAGAAGGUUUUCGGAUCGUAAAACUCUGUUGUUAGAGAAGAACAAGGAUGAGAGUAACUGCUCAUCCCCUGACGGUAUCUAACCAGAAAGCCACGGCUAACUACGUGCCAGCAG